rnacentral:rRNA from 1 species
CUGAGUACGGCGGAACACGUGAAAUUCCGUCGGAAUCCGGGAGGACCAUCUCCCAAGGCUAAAUACUCCCUAGUGACCGAUAGUGAACCAGUACCGUGAGGGAAAGGUGAAAAGCACCCCGGAAGGGGAGUGAAACAGUUCCUGAAACCGUGUGCCUACAAGUAGUUAGAGCCCGUUAAUGGGUGAUAGCGUGCCUUUUGUAGAAUGAACCGGCGAGUUACGAUUUGUUGCAAGGUUAAGCGGAAAAAGCGGAGCCGUAGCGAAAGCGAGUCUGAAUAGGGCGCAUAAGUAACAGGUCGUAGACCCGAAACCAGGUGAUCUACCCAUGUCCAGGAUGAAGGUAAGGUAAUACUUACUGGAGGUCCGAACCCACGCACGUUGAAAAGUGCGGGGAUGAGGUGUGGGUAGCGGAGAAAUUCCAAUCGAACUUGGAGAUAGCUGGUUCUCUCCGAAAUAGCUUUAGGGCUAGCCUCGAGGUAAAGAGUCAUGGAGGUAGAGCACUGUUUGGACUAGGGGCCCUUCUCGGGUUACCGAAUUCAGAUAAACUCCGAAUGCCAUGUACUUAUACUCGGGAGUCAGACUGCGAGUGAUAAGAUCCGUAGUCGAAAGGGAAACAGCCCAGACCACCAGUUAAGGUCCCCAAAUAUAUGUUAAGUGGAAAAGGAUGUGGGGUUGCUUAGACAACCAGGAUGUUGGCUUAGAAGCAGCCACCAUUGAAAGAGUGCGUAAUAGCUCACUGGUCGAGUGACCCCGCGCCGAAAAUGUACCGGGGCUAAACAUAUUACCGAAACUGUGGAUGAACCUCUUUAGAGGUUCGUGGUAGGAGAGCGUUCUAAGGGCGGUGAAGUCAGACCGGAAGGACUGGUGGAGCGCUUAGAAGUGAGAAUGCCGGUAUGAGUAGCGAAAGAAGGGUGAGAAUCCCUUCCACCGAAUAUCUAAGGUUUCCUGAGGAAGGCUCGUCCGCUCAGGGUUAGUCGGGACCUAAGCCGAGGCCGAUAGGCGUAGGCGAUGGACAACAGGUAGAGAUUCCUGUACCAGUGCUAAUUGUUUAACCGAUGGGGUGACACAGAAGGAUAGGGAAUCGCACGAAUGGAAAUGUGCGUCCAAGCAGUGAGUGUGAGAAGUAGGCAAAUCCGCUUCUCGCGAAGCAUGAGCUGUGAUGGGGAAGGAAAUUAAGUACGGAAGUUCCUGAUUUCACGCUGUCAAGAAAAGCCUCUAGGA